rnacentral:lncRNA from 1 species
AAAAGUCAAGUCUAUUGCUCUUUUGUAACACCUAAAUAAUUUUGUUUUUUUUAUUAUUUUUUCUCAUUUACAAACUUCUUCUCUCUUUUCCUUUUUUUUCUUGAUGCUCUCUUUUUUUCCUACCAUUUCUUUUUCUCUAGUCUCUCUCUUUGUUUGUUGUAUCUCUCACAUUUCUCUCACUUACUUUCUUCUUUAUUUUCUCUCGUCUCUUAUUCAUUUAUAACUCAUCUCUUGAAAUUUUUACAAAAAUAACUCACUUUUUCAAGGAAAUUCCCAAAAUACCUCUGGUUU